rnacentral:rRNA from 1 species
GACGAACGCUGGCGGCGUGCUUAACACAUGCAAGUCGAACGGAAAGGCCAUGCUUUUGUGGGGUGCUCGAGAGGCGAAGGGGUGAGUAACACGCGAGUAACCUGCACUUGACUGUGGGAUAACACCAGGAAAAUGGGGCUAAAAUCGGAGAGGAGCUACUGAUGCACGGGGGGGGUUGGAAAGAUUCGGCGGUUGGGGCUGGAAUGGCGGCUUAUCAGCUUGUUGGGGGGGUAGUGGCUUACCAAGGCUUUGACGGGUAGCCGGCCUUGGAGGGUGGCCGGCCACCUUGGGACUACGAUACGGCCCAGACGCCUACGGUAGGCAGCAGUGGAGAGUAUUGCACAAUGGGCGGGAGCCUGAUGCAGCAACGCCGCGUGCGUGAUGACGUCUUUCGGGUUGUAAACCGCUGUCUCCUGUGACGAAGCGUUAGUGACGGUAAUGGGUAAAGAAGCACCGGCUAACUACGUG